CAAUAAGGAGGCCUGCAUCUUGUGACCGUAGCUUACAUUACACAUGGCAGGACCAAAUCGGAAAGAUCGGUCUGUGCUGCUGCGGUGUCGCUGAGUUUGUUUGGCUUGAAGGCAAUUGUUUGGUUGUGGUCGACUGUGCUCAGAAGGCCUACGCUGUGUGAAGAGACUUUGGGGGUCCAAGCAGAUAGAGGAAACCGCUUCAUUAAUGUGAUUGGUUCAAAUCAAAUCAAAUUGUAUUUUUGUAUUUGUCACAUGCGCCAAAUUCAACAGGCGUAGUAGACCUUACAGUGAAAUGCUUACUUAUAAGCCCUUAACCAACAACGCAGUUUUAAGAAAAGUAAGUGUUAAGUAAAAAAUAAUAAUAAAAAUAACUAAUUAUUAAAGAGCUGCAGUAAAAUAACAGUAGCGAGGAUAUAUACAGGGGUACCAGUACAGAGUCAAUGGGCGGGGUCACAGGUUAGUUGAGGUAAUUGAGGUAAUAUGCACAUGAAGGUAGAGUUAAAGUGACUAUGCAUAGAUAAUAAACAGAGAGUAGCAGCAGCUUAAAGGGGGGGGGGGGGGCAAUGCAAAUAGAUUAGCUGUACAGGAGUCUUAUGGCUUCGGGGUAGAAUCUGUUAAGAAGCCUCAGGGACCUAGACUUGGCGCUCUGGUACCGCUUGCCUCACGGUAGCAGAGAGAACAGUCUAUUACGAGUGUGCCUGGAGUCUUUGACAAUUUUUAGGGCCUUCCUCUGACACCGCCUGGUACAGAGGUCCUGGAUUGCAGGAAGCUUGGACCCAGGGCCGUACGCACUACCCUCUGUAGUGCCUUGCAGUCGGAAGCCGAGCAGUUGCCAUACCAGGCAGUGAUGCAACCAGUCAGGAUGCUCUCGAUAGUGCAGCUGUAGAACUUUUUGAGGAUCUGAGGACCCAUGCCAAAUCUUUUCAGUCUCCUAAGGGGGAAUAGGCUUUGUCGUGCCCUCUUCACGACUGUCUUGGUGUGUUUGCACCAUGAUAGUUUGUUGGUGAUGUGGACACCAAGGAACUUGCAGCUCUCAACCUGCUCCAUUACAGCCCUGUCGAUGAGAGUGGGGGCGUGCUCUGUCCUCCUUUUCCUGUAGUCCACGAUCAUCUUCUUUGUCUUGAUCACAUUGAGGAAGAGGUUGUUAUACUGGCACUACACGGCCAGGUCUCUGACCUCCUCCCUAUAGGCUGUCUCAUCGUUGUUGGUGAUCAGGCCUACCACUGUUGUGUCGUCGGCAAACUUAAUGAUGGUGUUGGAGUUGUGCCUGGCCGUGCAUUCAUUAGUGAACAGGGAGUGCAGGAGGGGACUGAGCACACACCCCGGAGUGGUCUCCGUGUUGAGGAUCAGCUGGGGGCGGCCCGUCAGGAAGUCCAGGAUCCAGUUACAGAGGGGUUUGUUUUGUCCCAGGUUCCUUAGCUUAAUGAUGAACUUUGAGGGCACAAUGGUGUUGAACGCUGAGCUGUAGUCAAUGAAUAGCAUUCUCACACAGGUGUUCCUUUUGUCCAGGUAGGAAAGGUCCGUGCGGAGUGCAAUAGAGAUUGCAUCAUCUUUGGAUCUAUUGGGGCGGUAUGCAAAUUGGAGUGGGUCUAGGGUUUUUGGGAUAAUGGUGUUGAUGUGAGCCAUGACCAGCCUUUCAAAGCACUUCAUGGCUACAGCUGUGAGUGCUACAGGUCUGUAGUCAUUUAGGCAGGUUACCUUAGUGUUCUUGGGCACAGGGACUUUGGUGGUCUACUUGAAACAUGUUGAUAUUACAGACACAGGGACAGGUUGAAAAUGUCAGUGAAGACACUUGCCAGUUGGUCAUAGCAUAGUACAUGUCCUAGUAAUCUGUCUGGCUCUGCAGCCUUGUGAAUGUUGACCUGUUUAAAGGUCUUACUCACAUCUGCUACAGAGAGCAUGAUCACACCGCUGUCCAGCUGAUGCUCUCAUGCAUGCUUCAGUGUUGCUUGCCUCAAAGUGAGCAUAGAAGUAAUUUAGCUUGUCUGGUAGGCUCGUGUCACUGGGCAGCUCGCAUCUGUGCUUCCCUUUGUAAUCUGUAAUAGUUUGCAUGUCCUGCCACAUCCGACAAGCGUCGGAGCAGGUGUAGUACGAUUCAAUCUUAGCUCUGUAUUGACGCUUUGCCUGUUUGAUGGUUCGUCGGAGGGCAUAGCGGAAUUUCUUAUAAGCUUCUGAGUUAGAGUCCCGCUCCAUGAAAGCUGCAGCUCUACCCUUUAGCUCAGUGAGGAUGUUGCCUGUAAUCCAUGGCUUCUGGUUGGGGUAUGUACGUACAGUCACUGUGGGGAUGACAUCAUCGAUGCACUUAUUGAUGAAGCCAGUGACGGAUGUGGUGUACUCCUCAAUGCCGUCGGAGGAAUCCCGGGAUCAUAUUCCUGUCUGUGCAGGUAAAACAGUCCUGUAGCUUAGCAUCUGCGUCAUCUUCCACUUUUUUAUUGACCGAGUUGCUGGUGCUUCCUAUAUUUAAGUUGAUGUAUUUGCAUUUCUACUCAUAUUCACUGUGUAUUUGUAAAUGCAGUGGCUAACUGUUCUCUUUCUUUCAUCACAAGUUUUGUUUGUCACUGUUUUUGGUCUGUUUUUUUAAUCGUCAGCUAUUUAGCGUAGUAGUAGCCUAGUCUCUGUGAAAGCAAAGUGGUAGUCCUAUAGGCUUCUUUAGAACGUGUGAGCCAUCCAGUGAAAGUAGAUUGAUUAACUGAGACCCACAUCAUCAUUUGUAUACUCGUGUUAAUGUGUUUUACUAUCAAUCUGUCUCAAACACGCAAAUGUAAACCUGAAGCCUUUCAUAACCUUUGCCUUUUCUUGGGGGGAUUUUUGGGAGGAUUUUGGAUUUUAGCUGGGGGUGUUUGCCUUGAGUCUAGGUUGCUGGUGUGUGUUGUGUUCUAGGGCAGGUACUGGCGGUGGUAGGUGGAGCAACUUUGUCUCAGAGCAAUUCAUAUUAUUUGUACGUAAAGGGUUAGGGGAAUUAGCUAGCAUGAUCAAGUAGUUGCGAAGUAGCUAAAAAGUAGUAAGUAGUUGACAAUGUGCUAAUUAACUAAAAUGCUAAAGUUAUCCGAGAUGAGAUUUGAACUCACAACCUUUGGGAUGCUAGAUGUUUGCGUUAUACACCCAGCUCCGAACACCCUCCUUUUGUUUUUGCGUUUAAGUAACCAUCUGUCUUAUGUACCAUAUCAUACCAGUAUCUUUGAUUUACAUACUGAAAAAUACAAAAUGCUUUGAGACCAGGUUGGGUGGUGAGGGUGCCAAUUGAAAAUGUUUUUGAGUAAAAUGCAGCUUUACUGUAGCUAUUCACUGCUAUGAAACCUCAUACGUUUUUUAAUGCUUUUUGCUCUGGUUUAACUUCAAUUCAUUAUGUCAUGUCUCAUGCAUAUACAUAUACAUGCUGCUUUCUUGGCCAGGACUCACCUAAAAAAUAUCAAAUCAAAUCUAAUUUAAUUUGUCACAUACACAUGGUUAGCAGAUGUUGAUGCGAGUGUAGCGAAAUGCUUGUGCUUCUAGUUCCAACCAUGCAGUAAUAUCUAACAAGAAAUCUAACAAUUUCACAACAACUACUUUAUACACACAUGUGUAAAGGAAUGAAUAAGAAUAUCUACAUAAAAAAAUAUAUGGGUGAGCGAUGGCCAAACGGCAUAGGCAAGAUGCAGUAGAUGGUAUAGAGUACAGUAUAUACAUUUGAGAUGAGAUGAGCCCAGCACUACAUGGCAGGACCUGGUCAAUGACCUGAAGAGAGCUGGGACCACAGUCUCAAAGAAAAUCAUUAGUAACACACUACGCAGUCAUGGAUUAAAAUCCUGCAGCGCACACAAGGUCACCCUGCUCAAGCCAGCGCAUGUCCAGGCCCGUCUGAAGUUUGCCAAUGACCAUCUGGAUGAUCCAGAGGAGAAAUGGGAGAAGGUCAUGUGGUCUGAUGAGACAAAAAUAAAGCUUUUUGGUCUAAACUCCACUCGCUGUGUUUGGAGGAAGAAGAAGGAUACAACCCCAAGAACACCAUCCCAACCAUGAAGCAUGGAGGUGGAAACAUCAUUCUUUGGGGAUGCUUUUCUGCAAAGGGGACAGGACGACUGCAUCGAAUUGAGGGGAGGAUGGGGCCAUGUAUCGCGAGAUCUUGGCCAACAACCUCCUUCACUCAGUAAGAGCAUUGAAGAUGGGUCGUGGCUGGGUCUUCCAGCAUGACAACGACCCGAAACACACAGCCAGGGCAACUAAGGAGUGGCUUCGUAAGAAGCAUCUCAAGGUCCUGGAGUGGCCUAGCCAGUCUCCAGACCUGAACCCAAUAGAAAAUCUUUGGAGGGAGCUGAAUGUCCGUAUUGCCCAGCGACAGCCCCGAAACCUGAAGGAUCUGGAGAAGGUCUGUGUGGAAGAGUGGGCCAAAAUCCCUGCUGCAGCUUAAUGACAAGUUUGUUAAAUGCUGAGCUGUAGUCGAUGAACAGCAUUCUAUACAGACGCUUAGCUUGUGAAAAUAUGUAAAUCUCUACGUGACAUCUGGUUAAAUAAAAACAUUCAAAUAAAUAAUAUCUAUAGCCUCUGAAUGUUUCCUCUAGGUUAAAUGGGCCUUGAAUCUUUGGUUUGAAUAGAUGUUUCAAUUGUGUGAAAUCUCAGCUGUUUUGAAUAGGUCUCUGGAUAUCUUAUCCAGGCUGCUAAAGGCCAGAUGAUGUAAACAGUGUAGUCUUUGCACAUGAAUGUAUUUCACUGAUUCUUUAUGAAUAACAUUAUGUUGGUGUCUUAUGACCAGUUCAUGCUAGGAUUUGACUUUCAGUGGAUGAACACUAAUCAGUCUUAUUAAAAUUACACAUUUUUGAGGGCAAAUUUCAAUUUUUGAUAGCAGAACUGCAUUAGACAUUAGAUGCUAAGCUCCAUAACUGCUUCUGUGAACACUUAACACAUUGAGCACACCCUGGGCCUCAAAAUAGAUUGGCAAUGGGCAACUGAAUUUGUCAGACCAAUUCUGGUUAUUGGAAUCUUUUAUUACACAUGGUGCUUUUUCUACAAUGGCUACUAUGUCAUAAAAUGUUGCUUCUAAUACAUUAAAAACAGGACCGUUAGAGACUAUAGAAAAAUGUGUCAAAUCAAGCCGUUAGUUAAUGUAUUGCUUAUAAAUGUAUCUAUAAAUAAUACAAGGAAAUGGUAUGAAUCAUACGCUAUUUACUUGGAAUCAUUUGCUAAAGGACACUUAGGUGAGACCAAAUCAGUGACUCAUGACCUUCUCAAUUUAAUCGCAGCAAAAUCCAUAAAUGUGGUCAUUAACACCUGUUAAUACAUUUCAUUGUCUUCAAAUAUGGCUUAAUAGCCAGUGAACAUCGCCAGAGCUUACUUUUAAAUGACCAGUAAUGUAUUCUCAAUUUCUCAUCCUACUCUGGAAUGGCUUGAGGGCCAGUUGAUUUUUAUGCUGUUCAGCUAGGUUGUCUCCAUUUCCUUAGCACUUUAUCACUUUGUCGGAUGUCUGAGACUGUUUUAGUUGUGAGUUGUAAUGAGUAGAACAAAUAGCUGUCCUUAGAUGCACUCAUGGAACUGGCUUUCUCCUCUGCUUCUUUCAAAUGUGAGAUGUACAUAUCCAGCUUUCCAAACAAAUGAUGAAUAUUAAAGGGAUACUUUGGGAUUUUGGUAAUGGGAUUUGUAUCUACUUCCCAAGAGUCAGAUGAAGUCGUGGAUACCAUUUUUGUCUCUGUCCAGCAUGAAGGAAGUUUAAGGUAGUUCCAUGUGCCGUAACUAGUGUUAGCGCAAUGACUGGAAGUCUAUGGGUAUCUACUAGCACGCUAAAUAGCAAUUGUACUAGCACAAGUUAGCAACUUCCUUCAAACUGCAUACAGAGACAUACAAAUGGUAUCCACGACUCAAUUGACAAAACCCUUUAAGUGAAAUGAGUUUGUAUAGUUGAAUAACAACUAAACAGCCUCUUGAAGCCAAUAGCGUAUAUAAUCUGGACUGCAGUUAUAGCACAGAACAAUGAGCCAGAUAUUUCACCAGAUGUAUAAGUGUUCAUCAUCCGGUUGGCGUAUCCACUCACUACAAAAUAUGGUGAUGAGAGGUAGCCUAGUGGCCAGCAGUGGGAGGAGAUGGAGAGAGAUGGAUUUUGGCCAACAUUAUGCACAUUUUCUGAUUAAUGAAACAUUUGAUCUCAAUACAGUUUUCUGUUCCCAAAACUAGAAUCUGUUACAUACAGAGUGGAAUAAGAAAGGACAGGCUAUGGUCUAUCUUGGGUUAAGUUAUAAAAAUCUUUGUCUACACUGUCCAUACAAACCAACAUAACAGAAUUUGUAUUGUGCCACACUGGCAUCUUGUUUACAGAAGCAAACAGCACUGCGUUUGUGACUUGGAAAAAAUAGGCAAUCUUUUAGAUUACAUUUUUAAGUACAUAUUUGUCUGAAGUUUUUUAAAUGUGUCAUACUUUUUUCAAAGAGCACUUUUAUGAGACAUGUAAAAUGUAUGUUAUGGUUGUACUGGAGAAAAAGGGGCUAGGUCUUCUGUUUUCUACUUACGACAUAAUAAUAUAGAGGAUAGGGUGGAGUGUUUACCAGAUAGACCUUCUAGGAUAAUCCACUAUACUGUAUGGACUCUUUAGUAGGAAUUUAACCCUAACAAAGUCAGUUGUGUCUAAUCAACCAGUGCAUAUCGGAUGUUAUUACAUGGUUAGGCCUAAGUCUAAAAUCCUAUCUGUUAUAUAUUUUUGCUGAAUGGGCAAAGUGAAUUAUUUGGUUUCCAAAGUAAACAGAAUGCCUCUAAUCUAAUAUUUAUUUUAAAUGGUCUAUCAAUAAAUCAAUCCCAACACUUGCCACGUGCAUGCCUACGUCAAGGAUUGCCUGAGAAACUGAUUAAAGCUUCUCUUGAACUUGUCUGUUAAUUUAUGAUAAGAUUUCUCAAGGAGGGCAGUGUAUAUUUCCCGACACAGUAUUUUGCAACAUAGCAUUCGUCACACAGACUAUUAUCCUAUGAAUUAUCCUAUGAAUGUGAAAUGUUCUAAGAAUCAGUCCCCUGACAAUUUCUCAUCACAACAAUGUGAUGCUGUUUUGAUAUUACCUUUGUUUCUAUAUCACAGGCUAUGUGGCAUACUUCAUCACAGCAUGCAUAUUGGACUUUGAGAGGGCCAUUGCCCUUGUGGUCCUCACCAGUUUGGCAGUUGUCUCCAAAGCCUAUGACCUUGUG